UACGGGGGGGCAAGCGUUGUUCGGAAUUACUGGGCGUAAAGGGCUCGUAGGCGGCCAACUAAGUCAGACGUGAAAUCCCCUCGGCUUAACCGGGGAACUGCGUCUGAUACUGGAUGGCUUGAGUUCGGGAGAGGGAGUGCGGAAUUCCAGGGUGUAGCGGUGAAAUGCGUAGAUAUCUGGAGGAACACCGGUGGCGAAGGCGGCAUCCUGGACCGACACUGACGCUGAGGAGCGAAAGCCAGGGGAGCAA
rnacentral:rRNA from 1 species